rnacentral:rRNA from 1 species
GACAGAGGAGGCAAGCGUUAUCCGGAAUUAUUGGGCGUAAAGCGUCCGUAGGUGGUUUGGCAAGUCUGGGGUUAAAGCCCGGAGCCUAACUCCGGAUCGGCCCUGGAAACUGCCAGACUAGAGUAAGGUAGGGGUUGCGGGAAUUCCCGGUGUAGCGGUGAAAUGCGUAGAUAUCGGGAAGAACACCAGUGGCUAAAGAGCGCAACCGGGCCAUUAAUGACACUGAGGGACGAAAGCUAGGGGAGCGAAUGGG